rnacentral:rRNA from 1 species
AUUGAACGCUGGCGGCAUGCCUUACACAUGCAAGUCGAACGGUAACGCGGGGCAACCUGGCGACGAGUGGCGAACGGGUGAGUAAUGCAUCGGAACGUGCCCAGUAGUGGGGGAUAGCCCGGCGAAAGCCGGAUUAAUACCGCAUACGACCUACGGGUGAAAGGGGGGGAUCGCAAGACCUCUCGCUAUUGGAGCGGCCGAUGUCAGAUUAGGUAGUUGGUGGGGUAAAGGCCUACCAAGCCAUCGAUCUGUAGCUGGUCUGAGAGGACGACCAGCCACACUGGGACUGAGAGACGGCCCAGACUCCUACGGGAGGCAGCAGUGGGGAAUUUUGGACAAUGGGCGCAAGUCUGAUCCAGCCAUGCCGCGUGCGGGAAGAAGGCCUUCGGGUUGUAAACCGCUUUUGCCAGGGAAGAAACGCUCUGAGCUAAUACCUCGGGGUAAUGACGGUACCUGAAGAAUAAGCACCGGCUAACUACGUGCCAGCAGCCGCCGUAA